rnacentral:rRNA from 1 species
ACGGGGUGCAGCAGGCGCGAAAACUUUGCAAUGUGCGAAAGCACGACAAGGUUAAUCCGAGUGGUUUCUGCUAAAGGAACCUUUUGACAGUCCUAGAAACACUGUUGAAUAAGGGGUGGGCAAGUUCUGGUGUCAGCCGCCGCGGUAAAACCAGCACCUCAAGUGGUCAGGAUGAUUAUUGGGCCUAAAGCAUCCGUAGCCGGCUCAGUAAGUUUUCGGUUAAAUCUGUACGCUCAACGUACAGGCUGCCGGGAAUACUGCAGAGCUAGGGAGUGGGAGAGGUAGACGGUACUCGGGAGGAAGUGGUAAAAUGCUUUGAUCUUUCGAUGACCACCUGUGGCGAAGGCGGUCUACCAGAACACGUCCGACGGUGAGGGAUGAAAGCUGGGGGAGCAAACCGGAUUAGAUACCCGGGUAGUCCCAGCUGUAAACUAUGCAAACUCAGUGAUGCAUUGACUUAUGGUCAAUGCAGUGUUGCAGGGAAGCCGUUAAGUUUGCCGCCUGGAAGUACUACGCAAGUA